rnacentral:rRNA from 1 species
GGUUACCAUCAUACCAGCACUAAUGCACCGGAUCCCAUCAGAACUCCGCAGUUAAGCGUGCAUGGGCGAGAGUAGUACUAGGAUGGGUGACCCCCUGGGAAGUCCUCGUGUUGCAACCC